AUACCAGAAGAAGGCAUCAAAUGCCAUGGGACUGGAGUUACAGAUGGUCGUGAGCUACCAUGGGUGCUCAGAAUUGAACCUGGAUCCUUUGGAAGAACACCCCAGUGAUCUUAAUGGCUGAGCCUCCACCAGUCCCUGAACCCAGGUCUGUGUUCUAGCCUCCUGCCUGUCUGCUGUAGAUUCAAGCUUUGAUGAGAAUACUUCUGUGCUCUCUGCUUACAAAAACCAAAACUGUCAGGUACAGUGUUGUUGGGCCACCCCACUUUCCCCCAAGCAAUGAAGAAACGACCCCUGGCCUUUGGGAGAGAGAUGCUCUGAAGAGGUUAGACAGUUUUGUUUCUAGUGACUUAUUCUUGCUACUCAAGGAUUUAGCUUCAUUGGGAUAAAAUGCCCAUUGGCUUCUUAAACAAAGAGGAUUAGAAUUUAUCUCUCAAAAGGAACCCUGUUUACUUUUUAUGAUGCCAUAGUUAGCUUCAAUUGGCAACUGAAUCUCCUUGGUAAAGGUAACCUCAACUGGAGGAUUGCCUCCAUUGGAUUAUCCCGUGGACUUAUGUGUGAGACAUUUUCUAAGUUGUUAAUUGAUGUAGGAGUGGCCAGCCCACUGUGGGCGGUAACUACCCUAGGCUGGUGGUUCAGCAUAUAAAAAAGGUGUCUGAGCAAGCCAGUAAACAGAGAUCCUCUGUGGUUUCUGCUUCAACUCCUGAUUUACCUGCCAUGACUUCCAGCAAUGGCCUGAAAGUAUAAAGCAAAAUAAGCUCUUUCCUCCCUGAGCAGCUCCGCUGCCUGGGGCCAUGAGCCCAUGGAGGACACUUUUUAUUGCAGCCAUCACAAACCAGGGCUGGAAAGAUGGCGUUCUGCCACUGCAGAGAAUCUAAGUUUGGUUCCCAGCAUACACAUGACACUCACAGUUCUGUAACUCCAUUUUCAGGGGAUCUGAUGCUCUCCUUUGACCUCUGUAGGCACCCUGCAUGCAUGUGGUACAUACACACACAUAUAGGUGAAAUAUUUAUACACAUAAAAUGGAAUAAAUAAAUAUAUUUUUUUAAAAUCCCCAGCGACACUUCCAACAUGUUGCCUAAUUUGUUCAGAAUCUAACACAUGGCUCGUUCCUUUGACUUCUCUCUCUUCCUGUCUGUCUCAUCUGUUGCCUGAAAAGCUGUCCAAAGAGGCUUCCUGCCUGGCAGGAACCAGCAUUCCUGAUAGUUGAACAUGCUGUUGGUCUUCUCCCCAGGCAUUCUGGGAUAUGCACCGGGAUUCCUCAAAUGUACACCCACUGUGUGCUGUUUGUUUAUUUGCUCAAAACUGGUCUGAGGUCGGGUGCUAGGCCUUUUCAGUCUGUUGAGGAGAGCCUAGCCACAGGGACCCGUGGAGCUGUGGGGAGGCCUGCACACACACUGAGCCUUGGCAUAUGAGUUCCACAAAUGAAGAGAGGAUAUCGUGGCUGACCUCAGAAGAGAUUCGUUGAGAGAUACAUUCUCAUGUGGUCUGGGGAUCAAGAGCAUCAGUGACAAAGAACUGAAUUGCUGGGUGAGACUACCCGUUACUGGGAGCGUUUUUCUUUCUGUAUAGACAGGGGGUCCAGGCAACCUCCCUUCAGUUGCUGAUAAAGGGAACAUACCUCCACAGCUAAGAAGCUUCCCAGAGCUGACAAUGUUUCCCCAUUCUAAUAAUAGGAAGUAAGUGUGGGUGUAAACUUAUAUGAUAAAGUAAUACAUCUGCAUUUUGAUACCUUGAAAAAUGCAGAGAGAGAGGGAGAGAGAGAGAGAGAGAGAGAGAGAGAGAGAGAGAGAAUAACACUCAGAACCUCAGACCCAGAACUCUGGGUGUGGCAGUACGUACCUGUCACCUCCACCCUGGAGAGGUGGAGGCAGGAGGAUGAGGAGUUCAAGGCCAUCCGCAGCUAUGUAUCCAGCUUGUAUCGUCUGCCUGGGAUACAUGAGAACUUGUCAUGAACAAACAAGAGCAAAAAUCAGCCAUAACCCGUUUGAAGGCUUCACAUAUUCUUUGACUUACAAAACUAUGUGUUUUAUAUAUUUGCGUAUGCCUGUGUAUGUGUUUGUGGGCACACAGGCCAUAGCACACACAUGGAAGUCAGGAGACAGCAACCUAGCUGAGUCUUUUCCCUCUUACUGAAUGGGUCCCAGGUAUUAAACACAGGUUGUCAGGCUGGGAGCAGACGCUAUUAGCCACAGAAUCAUCUUGUCUCUUAAAUAAACAUGUUAGCUAAUUAUCUUCUAAGAGUCUAGUUGUGCUGAUGUGAAGGUCUAUGUAUUGACUGUGUCUUCUGCGCUUUGAGCUGCUCUCCUUCUGGGGCGUGGGUCGCUCUUUUUCUGGAGUGGAAAUUCCCUGCCCAUCUUCUCUGUCCUUUCGUCAGCAGGAAUCACAGUUGCAGUUUGGCAUCAGAUAUUUUUUGUUUAUACAGAUAUGAAAAAUAAAUAUACCUGAAGUCAAUACAUCACCUUUUAGAAAAGAAGCAGAAUUCUGUUUUAUGUAUCCUUAGCCUCUGUUCACUUAACAAUGUUCCCACUUCCUCGUUCAAUACCUGCUCUUAUAUUGACAGUGUCUGUGGGCUGGGCACGAAGACCCGUGGCUGCGCUUCUGAGGCACAGCAGUAACUACCACGUCAUUUUGAAGAAGUAGAUAUGGGUCCUGCCACGUUGUUUCAUGAUGUCCUGGCAUUUUUAGGUUGGCUCUGAUGUUACUGUGUGGACGUGUCUCACACUCUGCUUGCAGGAUGAAGCCCAGAGUGUCAAUUAAUUCAGUGGAAGGGCUGAUUACUCUAUUACUCUCUUGUAUUCAUAUUCGUUGCCACAUCUUCUCUGGAGACGCCAUUAUAGAAAUGCUAAUUACUACCAUGUCUAAUUAACACCACAUCUGUUCUGCUGUGUUAUUGGUUUUAAAAUUCAAGGAGUUUCGUAUUAUUAGCACUGAUGAAUUUUUUUUAAAUGACAAGUGUGCAUGAAAUAGAGAUUUGAUUGGCAAGUUCCUGCAUCCCAUCCUUCGUCCUCACCAACCACAGAGAAGUUAUCCUCUGCUGUUCCAAGUCCUUCUCUUUCAGGCUCAGCGUGUGGGAUGAUGUACUGGUAAAAUUCACAACUUUAACAUUAUAUAUAUAUAUGUGUGUGUGUGUGUGUGUGUGUGUGCACAUGCGUAUAUGCUGCUUGUCAUGUGAGUGCUUAAGGGAGCCAGAAUACAGCAUCAGUUCCCCUGGAGCUUGAGUUACAGGAGAUGGUGGGUGCUGGGAACCAAACUUGUCCCCUGGAAGAGCCAAGAGCAUUCUUAACCCCUGAGGUAUCUUCCCAACCCCCUACUUCAAAAGGAUUUCUUCUUUUGCUAAUGUUGGGUGGUGACAAAGGGGAGGGGGGGGACUCCUGAUGGGUAACUUGCAUUGUCAGCUUGAUUGGAUUUGGAGUCACCUGGGAGACACACUUCUGGGUUUUUCUGGGAGAGUGUUCCCAGAGGGGUUUGACUGAGGAAGGAAGUCCCAUGCUGAAUGUCAGCUGAACCACCGCAUGGGCUGGGCUCCUCGACUGAAUAAAAGAGGGAAAAAGAGAAAGAAAUGAAUGCCAGCAUUCCUCUCUGCUUCUGUCCCACCAAGAUGAAGGGGGCUGAGGAGUGGAACCAACCACCAAGCCUUCCUGCCCAGAUGGACUGUGUACUGGCUGGUUUUGUGUGUCAACUUGACACAAGCUGGAGUUAUCACAGAGAAAGGAGCCUCCCUUGAGGAACUGCCUCCAUAAGAUCAUUUUCUCAAUUAGUGAUCAAGGGUCGAGGGGCCCAUUGUGGGUGGUGCCAUCCCUGGACUGGUAGUCCUGGGUUCUAUAAGAGAGCAAGCUGAGCAAGCCAGGGGAAGCAAGCCAGUAAGCAGCACCCUCCACAGCUUCUGCAUCAGCUCCUGCCUCUAAGUUCCUGCCCUGUGUGAGUUCCUGUCCUGACUUCCCUUGGUGAUGAGCAGCAAUGUGGAAGAGUAAGCCUAAUAAACCCUUUCCUCCCCAGCUUGCUUCUUUGUCAUUAUGUUUUGUGAAGGAAUAGAAACUCUGGUUAAGACAGACUGUGUCCUCUCAGACCGUGAGCAAAAGUAAAUCUUCCCAUGGGUUGCUUCUUGUCAGGCAUUUUGUCAUAGGAGGAAGAGUGACUGGUGACAGGUUACACUCUUCACAGAACGUUAGCUUUUACUUCUUUGAAAAGGCUUCAACUGUAAAUUUUCAUCAGUGAGUCUCUGCUGAUUCUGCAGCUCAGCCUGUGGCUUUACACUCUGAGAAUCAGUGGUUUUCGAUUCGCUCUGGCUCCUGCAUUGAAUUCAGCUGUUUUAAUGUUGUUGCGCUGCACAGGUCGGUGUCAACCCCAUUUUUGUACAUAGGCCUCGGUCACCUUGGUGGGCAGUUCACCCAUGACAGGUGUGGAGAGUCCGUAAUGCCCCUGGGAGUGACUCACUGGAUCUCUCUUCAUUCGGCUUCUGUCUUUCAGGGCUGGAAGUGCAGAAAUGGAUAAAUAGGACUCUCAGCUCAGAAGCAUUCUGUCUGCCGAGAGGAAAGCGUAGAGACGCUCAGGUCUCUGUGCUCUUCAAGCCACUUUCUCUGAAGUUUUUGGUGUCAGAGCCUGGACCUGGGAAGCCCAACCACCCAUCCUCAAGGCCAAUUAGCAAGAGAAUUACUUCUGCGAAGCAGAGAAGAGAGGUUUCGCCAAUGCUUGUUUGAGUCAUGGGAAAGAUAAGCUAAGAAGUCCAGAGAUGCUGCUUCCGUAUCCUUAGGGACCCUGACCCCACCAUUUAGGGAUCCUGACAGAGUUUAGGUUUAAACAGGGAGCAGGGGUGUGUAUAGCUAAGAGGCCCUGGUCAAGGGGGGUUUCCUAACCAGCCCACCAUAUUGUUUUAGUUCCUCUCCUUCCUGUUAAGUGUCUUACAGGCCAAACCGUAUGAAAUUUCUUCCUUCAGGUCAGGAUUCCCCUCCAGUUGGUACCAGCCAUUAGCAUUUCUGACUUUUCUUUCUCCUAGCAUGAGAUUCCAGGAAAAUCCUAAUUUCUUGGGGUCUUUUGUUUCAGUAGUCUGAUAGCCAAUGGAGGGGGGACACAAGUGUCUCCUUAGAGUAUCUUCACUCCUGCCAGAUGGCCGUACUCGGCUGUUCUUUGUGGCCCUUCUCUGUAGAGGGUGUGGCUGUUGCGUGUGGAAAACCGCUGGAAGCUUGUCUUUUUGGAAAGGCAGCCCCAGAUGCACCUGUGGGAACCAGGCAUGACCUGGAAAUGCCCUCUGGGACAUGGAGGCUGCCACCUGCUAUGAGAGAAGACACCCUUGCCUGUUCCAAACAGAGGUCUGAUGACGCUGUCUACGUGCCUGUUGCUUAGCUGGUCUGUGGGAGAAGAGUCCCUCAUGCCAAGUCUAUGACCCAGCUAACCCACAGAGAAGGGUGCUCAUGCCAACCUUCCCAGUAGACUGGCAUUCGAGUAAUGAUCGGGACAGUUUCUGAUAUUGUCCCUCCCAGAGACCCUAGUCAUUGCUACUCUCCUGCCCACAAACCUUAAACCAGUCUCCUCUGGGUAGAAGACUAGUUAGCAGGAAAGAUGAAAUGCUAAAAAUCACCCCUUGAACAGUUCAGUUACUGUGAUGCCCAGACUAUGCCCCUCUCCCAUUUUACACUUCAUUUUUCAGGGCAACAUGUGGCUCCAUUUAGAGGACAAUGAAGACUGAUAGCUCUGUCAUAGAGCCACCUGUCCAUUCCGUGUGUGUGUGUCUGUCUGUCUGUCGGUCUGUCCAUCCUCACUUCUAAUAAAAGCCUUUCUUUACUGGUUUAUUCUGUCUGCUGUGUCUGAGAUUCCCCC
rnacentral:lncRNA from 1 species